UUGUAAAGCUCUGUGGGGAGGGAAGAAUAAGUUCCACCUAAUACGUGGAGCGAUGACGGUACCUCCUUAGCAAGCACCGGCUAACUCUGUGCCAGCAGCCGCGGUAAGACAGAGGGUGCAAACGUUGUUCGGAAUUACUGGGCGUAAAGCGCGUGUAGGCGGCUUUGCAAGUCGGGCGUGAAAUCCCAUGGCUCAACCAUGGAAGUGCACUCGAAACUGCAGAGCUAGAGUCCUGGAGAGGAAGGUGGAAUGCUUGGUGUAGAGGUGAAAUUCGUAGAUAUCAAGCGGAACACCGGUGGCGAAGGCGGCCUUCUGGACAGUGACUGACGCUGAGACGCGAAAGCGUGGGGAGCAAACAGGAUUAGAUACCCUGGUAGUCCACGCCGUAAACGAUGAGUGCUAGGUGUCACGGGCUUUGACCCUCGUGGUGCCGAAGCUAACGCGUUAAGCACUCCGCCUGGGGAGUACGGCCGCAAGGCUA
rnacentral:rRNA from 1 species